rnacentral:rRNA from 1 species
AUUGAACGCUGGCGGCAUGCCUUACACAUGCAAGUCGAACGGUAACAGGUCUUCGGAUGCUGACGAGUGGCGAACGGGUGAGUAAUACAUCGGAACGUGCCUAGUAGUGGGGGAUAACUACUCGAAAGAGUGGCUAAUACCGCAUGAGAUCUACGGAUGAAAGCAGGGGAUCGCAAGACCUUGUGCUACUAGAGCGGCCGAUGGCAGAUUAGGUAGUUGGUGGGAUAAAAGCUUACCAAGCCGACGAUUGGUAGAUGGUCUGAGAGGACGAUCAGCCAAACGGGGACUGGGACACGGCCCAGACUCAUACGGGAGGCAGCAGUGGGGAAUGUUGGACAAUUGGCGAAAGCCUGAUCCAGCAAUGCCGCGUGCAGGAUGAAGGCCUUCGGGUUGUAAACUUCUUUUGUACGGAACGAAAAGCCCCGGGUUAAUACCCUGGGGUCAUGACGGUACCGUAAGAAUAAGCACCGGCUAACUACGUGCCAGCCGCCGCGGUAA